rnacentral:rRNA from 1 species
GUGCACCAGUCGCGCAACCUCUGCAAUACGCGAAAGCGUGACAGGGCUACCCCGAGUGCCGUCCGCUGAGGAUGGCUUUUCUCCGGUGUAGUAAGCCGGAGGAAUAAGGAGAGGGCAAGUCUGGUGUCAGCCGCCGCGGUAAUACCAGCUCUCCGAGUGGUAGGGACGAUUAUUGGGCCUAAAGCGUCCGUAGCCGGCCAAGCAAGUUUCCCGUUAAAUCCAGCGAUCCAAUCGUUGGACUGCGGGAAAUACUGUUUGGCUAGGGGGCGAGAGAGGCCAACGGUAUUCCCGGGGUAGGGGUGAAAUCCCAUAAUCCCGGGAAGACCACCAGUGGCGUAGGCGGUCGGCUAGCACGCGCUCGACAGUGAGGGACGAAAGCUGGGGUAGCGAACCGGAUUAGAUACCCCCGUAGUCCA